UACAGAGGUCUCAAGCGUUGUUCGGAUUCAUUGGGCGUAAAGGGUGCGUAGGUGGCGCUGUAAGUCGGGUGUGAAAUUUCGGAGCUUAACUCCGAAACUGCAUUCGAUACUGCGGUGCUUGAGGACUGGAGAGGAGACUGGAAUUCAUGGUGUAGCAGUGAAAUGCGUAGAGAUCAUGAGGAAGACCAGUGGCGAAGGCGGGUCUCUGGGCCGAUACUGACGCUGAGACGCGAAAGCGUGGGGAGCGAACAGG
rnacentral:rRNA from 1 species